UUUAUCCCUUAUUGGGCCUUAGAGCAAGUCGUUUAUCCCUUAUUGGGCCCUUGCGCAAGGCCUUUAUCCCUUAUUGGGCCCUUGCGCAAGGCCUUUAUCACUUAUUGGGCCCUUGCGCAAGGCCUUUAUCCCUUAUUGGGCCCUUGAGCAAGGCCUUUAUCCCUUAUUGGGCCCUAGAGCAAGGGCUUUAUCCCUUAUUGGGCCAUUUCUCAAAUGUCCAUCCUUUCAGAUGAAAGCAUAAAUAAAUUAGCCAAAAGUUCUAGUACUAUUUGUACUGAUUUCACAGAUUCAAAAAAAAUCCUUUUGCAUUGGGGGGAGAUUAUCCACAUAUAAUCCAAAGCCUCUGUCAUUGUUUCAAAUGACGGGGGUCACCCAACUAUGACCAUUUGUAUCCACAGACAGUAUAACCGUCUACAGACCAAAAGCACACAUGGAAAAGUAAAUGAACUACCUGCCAGCAGCCUUCCACUGAUCAUGUAAACAUUUUUUUGUUGUGGGAUCAACAAAUUUGAGAGAAUUGCACUUACAUUACGUAUUUUAAGAGGUAUUAUGAUCAUUGUCCUGUAAAUGACAAGCUUUCAAGGACACAGACAAUAAGCUUGUUUUUAUGGUCAUUUGUUUGUAACAGACUGAACAGGUAAUGUGAAAUAAUAAAAAUAUGUUCUUAAAAACA